CCUCGCCUCACUUGAGUCAGUCUCACUCCGCCUCAAACCUAAAGCGAAAGGAUUCGCUCAGCCUCACUUGAUCUCUGCUCAGCUGCUCUCUCAUCUCAAGACUCACGCCUCUCUGAGUCGCUUGGCUCGCAGCCAUCAACCACGGUUCACCAGUCCACCGCACCACGGCCGACACCACUUCUCUACCAUCCUAACUCCUAAGUCCCAUUUUAAUUCAAUUUCUAUGUCCUGGGUUUCUCUGAUCUGUCGAGUUCUCUGGCAUUAGCCGAGUCCAUGGCUUCACCUGGGCUACUCACUACUCUGUAGAAGAUCCACUCUUCCUCCUCUAUUGGUAUGGAAUCUAGGCCUUGAAGAGCAGAGGAGCGGGAGAGAAAGGUUUCAGUUUGGAGUAGUUCUCUUUGGAUGCAGACUUGUGAUUCAUGCCUUUGCCUCAAUUGGAUUUAAUUAGAGGGUGAGUUGAGGUCAUUAUUAAUUAACUUCAGUUGUUUGAGAGUAAAAUCCUGGUGUUAAUUUUGGUGGGUUGUUGGUGAAGAGCUGUAGUUGAAGAAAUGGAAGACAAAGGUUGAAGUUUGGCGUGGUUUGUAUUUGGGUAUAGAUAUUAUCAUAUGCUUAAUUAAUUUGAAAAUUUGAUAAAUCAAUAUGGUAGCCAAGAUGAAUUCCCAGAAGAACAAAAGUUCAAUUAUGGAGUGCAAAUGCAAGUUGAUAAUCCCAUUCCGUUUCUGUUUAAUCUUGUUGGAUUAAUAUAAGUUACAACCUUAUAAUUCUUGUUUGUAAUUGCUAUGUUCACAGGUUUUUUUCAUUAGUGCCAUCUUGUUCCAAUAAGCAAACCUUUAAUUGGAACCAGUUUCAUGAUUAAUAAUGAAGUUGGUUACA